rnacentral:rRNA from 1 species
GCAGUCGCCGCGGUAAUACGGAGGGUGCAAGCGUUAUCCGGAUUUAUUGGGUUUAAAGGGUCCGUAGGCGGACUUAUAAGUCAGUGGUGAAAGCCUGUCGCUUAACGAUAGAACUGCCAUUGAUACUGUAAGUCUUGAGUAUAUUUGAGGUAGCUGGAAUAAGUAGUGUAGCGGUGAAAUGCAUAGAUAUUACUUAGAACACCAAUUGCGAAGGCAGGUUACCAAGAUAUAACUGACGCUGAGGGACGAAAGCGUGGGUAGCGAACAGGAUUAGAGACCCCAGUAGUCCCUGUCUCUUAUAA